rnacentral:misc_RNA from 1 species
GAUGAAGAACGCAGCGAAAUGCGAUAAUUAAUGUGAAUUGCAGAAUUCAGUGAAUCAUCGAAUCUUUGAACGCACAUUGCGCCCGCUGGUAUUCCGGCGGGCAUGCCUGUUCGAGCGUCAUUUCAACCCUCAAGCCCCCGGGUUUGGUGUUGGGGAUCGGCUCUGCCCUUCUGGGCGGUGCCGCCCCCGAAAUACAUUGGCGGUCUCGCUGCAGCCUCCAUUGCGUAGUAGCUAACACCUCGCAACUGGAACGCGGCGCGGCCAUGCCGUAAAACCCCAACUUCUGAAUGUUGACCUCGGAUCAGGUAGGAAUACCCGCUGAACUUAAGCAUAUCAAUAAGCGGAGGA